CGAAGGGUGCAAGCGUUAAUCGGAAUUACUGGGCGUAAAGCGCGCGUAGGUGGCUUGAUAAGUUGGAUGUGAAAUCCCCGGGCUCAACCUGGGAACUGCAUCCAAAACUGUCUGGCUAGAGUGCGGUAGAGGGUAGUGGAAUUUCCAGUGUAGCGGUGAAAUGCGUAGAUAUUGGAAGGAACACCAGUGGCGAAGGCGACUACCUGGACUGACACUGACACUGAGGUGCGAAAGCGUGGGGGAGCAAACAGGAUU
rnacentral:rRNA from 1 species